UGGUCAUACAUGCCUGGUAAUUGGCUAUCUUCCGUUGGAGAGUAGAAGUCAAAUUCAUGCAUCUGCCCAUCACAUCAAAUUUGUGGCCCUCCCUGUCCAUGGAAGCUGAGAGCAUUUUGUUCUUAGAUUCUGACUGAGCUGCCUCCACCACAAUGGAGUUGGAUGUGGGGUGUUUCUGUAAGAAUGGGCAGUUUUCAGUUAGCACCCUGUAAAAAUUCUCCAUCUUUCCAGAUGUUGGAGCAACUAAGGAAGGCUUUCCCCCAAUAACUAUGAAUAAUGUCCCAAAGGGCUGAGUUCAUAGGUAUGACCACCAAGCAUUGAGUGUCACUUUCCAUUAUAUCAAAAAUAGGGUUUGAUGACUGUUUUGUUUCCUCUCUCAAUUGCAGCCUUAAGAAAGAUGCCAUCUUGGCGACCUGAUUGGAAAAUGAUCUGAGAUCCACUGAAGGGGAUGGCAGUUUCAAAUUCUCCACCAAGUCUGAUGGCAUUGACCGUAAAGGUUCAGAAAGGAACACGGUUAUGAAAAAGUGUACUACAAAAAUCCUCAAAUAAAAUUUUAAGAAGAAAACAGGAAAAAGAUGGCAGGCCAAGCAGAAUUUUAAUAAUGGUACAUAAAGAAAUACAAGCGCAAAAUUUAAGCACAAAAGAUGUAUUGUGUCUUCAUGUCUUUUACAUAUGCUUACCAAAACAGCAACUCCCGGUUCACCUUUUUAUAGUUAAAUGCUGCUUGCCUGGAUCACAAGUGACAAUAUAGCUAUCGGUGGGUGGUCAACAGAGCACCAGGGAUCUAGGAAGAAUGAAGAUUUGUUGAACAGCUAUGAUUAUAAAUAAAGCCUCCUAAACAAGAUUCAGCUGAUUAAGAGGCAACUUUCUAAUGAUGUCCACCUCUAGCAGAGCAAUACUGAAUCAAUGUCAUUUCUAUGGAAAAUAUGUGGGGAGAAAUCAUGAUGCUUAGAAUGGACCAAAGUAAGUAGAAUAUUGCUGCUUGGUGUUUCCAGAAGACUUUUAACUAUUAUUGUUGUUGUAAUUAUUAUUGUUGUAAUGAUAAUAAUGUACCACUGAUGAUGUUAUGGUUAGCAAAAUGUCAUUACGCCAUUAUCUGUUAUAUAAACUGUUUUGCAGAGAGUGUUGCGGGGGUUGCAAAGUAUAUUCUUGCAUUCUUCAGUACAGACAUUCUUCAGAUAUUUAUUAUCUUCCUUCACAAGAUUGUUGUCUAUAUUUUAUGGUCAGCAGUUCACAGAGGAGUAAAUAGGCUGGGUGUAGAAGAAAAUAAAAAAGGUGUUUCUACUUACUGUUAGGUGAUACUGCCUCCAUAUUUCUGGGCAAGCCUGGAAAAUAAAAAUAUUGAUCAGCUGGGAGCAUGAAACAAGGUGCUUUACAGCCUGUUGGUUUUGGCAUAACACAGUAUCCACCGGUGUCGGUCACAGGAAAAUAAGAAGCUUAACUGAAAGGGUCUGCAUUUCAGCUUCAAAAACCUGGCUAGACAGUUUAAUUGAAUUUUACACUGGUUUAACACACUCCCUGCCAUUGUCAGAAAGCCAGUAACAGGUUUUUCCCCUCUCCCUUUCUUUUGCUAAAGUUUAUAAGUUUUGAAAAGUUUGUAAGUGUUAUAAAAUGUAAAUACAGGCCUCAUGUGCUUUAUCAGGGAUUUCUCAAAGUGUUAUAUUGAUGUAACAAAUUAUUUGGAAGUUAAUUUACAAUAUCAUAAAUAAAGGAACAAUUCUUCUGCAAUGAUUUUUGAAUACAACUACUCUAUAAUCUAAUCAAAAUAUGACAACUGAUGCACAGAUAGUACCCUCAGUAAUCUGAUCUAAGAUACACACUUGAAGAACAUUAUGCUUUAUUGCUUCAAUUUAAAAAAUAUAUUCUUUGUCCAUACUGUACCUAAACUACUGUAUUAUACUGUACUAAUGAAAUGAUGCAGAUUUCUCCUUAUAGCAAUUUCAAUACCACUAGCACACCAUACACCAUUUCGUACUAUUUCUUAUUAUUGUCUUAUUUUCGUAAUAAAAGGAUUCUAGGUAUUUUCUAAAGGAAAUAUAGUUUGCUUCCCAAUUUUAUAACAUAACAUUGCAUUAACUUAGCUGUCACAAAUCUAAUUUCCUUACAGUUUAUAUCUGAUUGUACCUGUCUUUCCUUGUACCUUUGUGUCAGGUUACACAUACAGUUUGUAUCUGUAAUACUUUGAAAUAAUUUCCUGAACAAUCUCAAUAAGGUUAGUAAAAAAGCCAAACCAGAAUGUACAUAAAUAUGUUUUACCUUAUUUUAGUAAUAGGUAACUGCAUGAGUCUCUAUUUUAAGAACCCCAGCGCCUACUUUAAAAAUAAACAAACAAACAAACCCUGUGUGAUGUCGCUCUCCUCAGUCAAAUGCAGAUCUUUGUUUUUCAGAUUUCACAAAGAGAACUACAAGGCACACUGAAUGCCAUUUUUUCUAGGAGAGUUUUUUUUUUUAAGUAAAACAGAUAGAUGCCCCUUGGAGGGUGCAAGAGAUCUAACCAACAUUCAACCUGAGGAGAUAGCAUAACCUUCAAAGUUUUUUGGAACAAAAUAAAAGGAUUGGCUUCUUUUACUAAAACUUAUAUUUAGUACUUGUGAACUAAUUUUCAAUCUAUAUAAUAAACACAUUCUGCCACCUGCAAACACUAAAUGAAUUUUGCUAUAUGCAACAUUUCUGCAGGCUUACCUAAGGGGUAAGCAGCCUGUUAUUUAUACAUUAGUUCUGGACAGUUUCUGAUCAUCACAAUGUUCCCAGAAUAAUGUGGUUGAAAAAUUGUAGUCGAUGCAUUGUCUUAUGCUAGAAUGGCAUUUUGCCAGUAUAUGACCUUUACUAGCAGUAAUUUAAUAAAAAGAUUAUUUGACUUCAGAAUAAUAAUUGUGUCACUCUGGGCAU